UGGGUAAUAUUGCACAAUGGGCGCAAGCCUGAUGCAGCAACGCCGCGUGAACGAUGAAGGUCUUCGGAUCGUAAAGUUCUGUUGCAGGGGAAGAUAAUGACGGUACCCUGUGAGGAAGCCCCGGCUAACUACGUGCCAGCAGCCGCGGUAAUACGUAGGGGGCUAGCGUUAUCCGGAUUUACUGGGCGUAAAGGGUGCGUAGGUGGUCUUUCAAGUCGGUGGUUAAAGGCUACGGCUCAACCGUAGUUAGCCUCCGAAACUGGAAGACUUGAGUGCAGGAGAGGAAAGUGGAAUUCCCAGUGUAGCGGUGAAAUGCGUGGAUAUUGGGAGGAACACCAGUAGCGAAGGCGGCUUUCUGGACUGCAACUGACACUGAGGCACGAAAGCGUGGGUAGCAAACAGG
rnacentral:rRNA from 1 species